rnacentral:rRNA from 1 species
AUUGAACGCUGGCGGCAUGCUUUACACAUGCAAGUCGAACGGCAGCGCGGGCUUCGGCCUGGAGGCGAGUGGCGAACGGGUGAGUAAUACAUCGGAACGUGCCCAGUAGUGGGGGAUAGCUCGGCGAAAGCCGGAUUAAUACCGCAUACGACCUGAGGGUGAAAGCGGGGGAUCUUCGGACCUCGCGCUAUUGGAGCGGCCGAUGGCAGAUUAGCUAGUUGGUGGGGUAAAGGCCUACCAAGGCGACGAUCUGUAGCUGGUCUGAGAGGACGACCAGCCACACUGGGACUGCGACACGGCCCAGACUCCUACGGGAGGCAGCAGUGGGGAAUUUUGGACAAUGGGCGAAAGCCUGAUCCAGCAAUGCCGCGUGUGUGAUGAAGGCCUUCGGGUUGUAAAGCACUUUUGGCGGGAACGAAAAGGACUGUGCCAAUACCACGGUUCGAUGACGGUACCCGCAGAAUAAGCACCGGCUAACUACGUG